CCACCUACGGGACGCAGCAGUGAGGAAUAUUGGUCAAUGGGCGAGAGCCUGAACCAGCCAAGUCGCGUGAGGGAAGACGGUCCUAUGGAUUGUAAACCUCUUGCCGGGGAGCAAAAAGCGGUACGUGUACCGCAUCGAGAGUACCCGGAGAAAAAGCAUCGGCUAACUCCGUGCCAGCAGCCGCGGUAAUACGGAGGAUGCGAGCGUUAUCCGGAUUUAUUGGGUUUAAAGGGUGCGCAGGCGGCGAGUUAAGUCAGCGGUAAAAUUUCGGGGCUCAACCCCGUCGUGCCGUUGAAACUGACGCC
rnacentral:rRNA from 1 species